GAUGAACGCUGGCGGCGUGCUUAACACAUGCAAGUCGAACGGGAAAUAUUUCAUUGAGACUUCGGUGGAUUUGAUCUAUUUCUAGUGGCGGACGGGUGAGUAACGCGUGGGUAACCUGCCUUAUACAGGGGGAUAACAGUCAGAAAUGGCUGCUAAUACCGCAUAAGCGCACAGAGCUACAUGGCUCAGUGUGAAAAACUCCGGUGGUAUAAGAUGGACCCGCGUUGGAUUAGCUGGUUGGUGGGGUAACGGCCCACCAAGGCGACGAUCCAUAGCCGGCCUGAGAGGGUGAACGGCCACAUUGGGACUGAGACACGGCCCAGACUCCUACGGGAGGCAGCAGUGGGGGAUAUUGCACAAUGGGGGAAACCCUGAUGCAGCGACGCCGCGUGAAGGAAGAAGUAUUUCGGUAUGUAAACUUCUAUCAGCAGGGAAGAUAGUGACGGUAC
rnacentral:rRNA from 1 species